UGGGGAAUUUUGGACAAUGGGCGAAAGCCUGAUCCAGCCAUGCCGCGUGAGUGAAGAAGGCCUUCGGGUUGUAAAGCUCUUUUAGUCGGAAAGAAAGAGUCGCAAUGAAUAAUUGUGAUUUAUGACGGUACCGACAGAAAAAGCACCGGCUAACUACGUGCAGCAGCCGCGGUAAUACGUAGGGUGCGAGCGUUAAUCGGAAUUACUGGGCGUAAAGGGUGCGCAGGCGGUUUUGCAAGUCAGAUGUGAAAGCCCCGGGCUUAACCUGGGAAUUGCGUUUGAAACUACAAGGCUAGAGUGCAGCAGAGGGGAGUGGAAUUCCAUGUGUAGCAGUGAAGUGCGUAGAGAUGUGGAAGAACACCGAUGGCGAAGGCAGCUCCCUGGGUUGACACUGACGCUCAUGCACGAAAGCGUGGGGAGCAAACA
rnacentral:rRNA from 1 species